UCCCUGAUAGUUUACUUGCUAAAGAAUCCGCCUGCAAAGCAGGAGACUCUGGUUCUAUUCCUGGUUUGGGAG
rnacentral:tRNA from 1 species